rnacentral:lncRNA from 1 species
CUGCUCUGCAGUCUUUGGCUUGCCAGUACUGACCUCCUUAGGUCAAUAGGACAUUUAGUGUGUGCUGGGCAGUAGGGCAGAGGAGGGAUAAAGGAUGAGUCACACAAGCCCUAUGGGGGCUCACAGUCCAAGGAAGGAGAGAACAUCCACCUGCAGAUAAGUGCACAAUGCUAGGUGCCUGAAAAGAGGCACAGAGGGGGCUCUAGAAAUUGCAGGUGGGAAUUCAGAGUCCUGUCCAGCUCAGUGGUGUUGGGAGAGAGGGAAGGGGAUGGGAAUGGGAUGUUAGAAAAGAUGUCUGGGAGAAGGUGGCUUUGAAUUGGAUCAAGUAGGAUAUACAGGAUUUGGUCAGGCAAAGAUGUGGAAUAAUCUAGAGAACAGUGAGCGGGAAGAUGAAAAAGGCAGGCAGAUACAUGAGACUGUGAAGAGGUCAGUUUGGCAGAUGCAAAGUACACAGGGUGUGGUUGGGGUUAGAGAGAGUUGACGCUGGGGAGACAGGUGGUUCCCAUUAUGAACAGACUUGAGUGUCAUUUUAUGGACUUUAGAUUUGGGAGAUGCCUAUUGUCUGUCUCACUAGAUCUAGUCUCCACUCCACAGUGGUAGACUGUUUGCAAACCCAUCCUUAGUUAUUCCCCUCCUGGACCCAUGCCCCCUUGUGCUGUAACUUUGACUGCUCUCCCACUCUGAUUCUGAGCUCUGACAUGUAACUUGCUUGGUCAAUGGGAUGUCAGCAGUUGUCUCUGCAUAAGCAGAGACUUGAAAAAUGAUUGCGCACUGGUGUUUGUCCUCUCUUGCUGCUCCUGGAAUCCUGCUGCCACAUGAAUGAGCAUGCUGAAGGCUAAGAGGCUAUGUGGAUGGAGAAGCACUGAAGCUCCCCGUCUGGCACUCAGCCGACCAUAGAUGCCUGAGUGAGUGCUAGCAGAGGAGAACCAUGGAGAGGAGGGGAGGCUGGACCGGGCUUCACCUCACACGGUGCAGGAAUGGCCACAAAGUCCUGAUGAAGAGCAGCCCCUGCGGGACAUCCCUGACAAACAACCCUACAGCUUCUGCUUGAGUCUCCCCAGCAUGGGGAACUCACCACCUUCCAAGGCACCUCUCUUGUAAAUGAAGAAAUUAAAACUGCAAGUUGAAACUGAGUCACUGAUGGCGCCAGAUGUUUCUGGAGCAAAACUGGGAAAGAGGGUGAGCAUUGGAAAGACACCUCCUCCUGUUAUCUUCGAGAAGCCAUUUACUGGGAAAACAAAAACUGAGCUCCAUGAUGCAUAAAUUCCAAAAUGCAGAGGCCAAUUUCUUUCCCUUUGACCACAUGUCGGAAAGGCUCGGGGUUCAGUAACUGGAGGAGGCAGUGUUUAAUCCCAAUUUUACCAGUGAAGAAACUGAGGCUCAGAAAAACAAAGUGACUCCAAAUUCCUUGAGCACCUGGCCAGGGUCAGUCCCCACGGUGGCUGAGAUGGUUGACCAAUGGCCUCUGGGGAGAAGGCUAUGGGCACAGACACUGGUCCCUGGCUUGUUGGGAGGGAACAAGGAUGUCCAUCUGUCCUCCCUCAACACUGCCUCCUGGGGGACAAGGAAGAUGCCCAGAGUGAGUGGGCAGGGUGGGCGAUGGACUCAUACCCUGCCUUGGUGUCUCUGUGGCUCCUGGAAGAUCCUUGCAAGCAGCGGUGAGCACUGUGACUUGAGCCCUGCGGUGGUGGCUUGCCAUGUGGCCAGUCAAGGUGGACGAUGGACUCAUAUGCUGCCUGGGUGUCUCUGUGACUCUUGGGAGAUCCUUGCUGGCAGCGGUGAGCACUGUGACUUCAGCCCUGCAGUGGUAGCUGGUCACAUGGCCAGUCAAGGCUCAGUCUUCUUAGUAAUCAAAGGACUGAAAGUGUCCAGUAGCUUUGGAUGAUGGUUGAGGACUCGUUAAUAAAGACCACUGCCCUAUGGGAAUGCGUUAUACUCUCUGGAAUGAGCCGUGCAGGUGGGCUCAGAGAACAUACCAUUUGCACACUCAUAACAAUGUAAAAGUAUGAAAGUAAAAGUCAUAUGAAAUCCUCCUGUGCAGAGCUAGUUAAUGUUGGGUGACUGUCACUCCAGGCAUCUGUCUUUGCACUUGCAAGAGGGAUAACAUGUAGGUAAAUAGGAAAACACUGUACAGUAUAUGCUAUCCUUUACUUACUUUAGUCAAUGGUAUAUCAACAAACAUAAAUCUAUAUCAUUUUAACUGCAUCUGAUUCCAUUGUAUGAAUGUACCUUACUUUAUUUAAUCAGUAGGCUUCUGAUUGCAAUUUGCAUUGGGUUUUGCAUUUCAGCCAUCUUUCGUGAUCCUUAAA